AGAGUUUGAUCCUGGCUCAGAUUGAACGCUGAGGCUUAACACAUGCAAGUCGAACGGCAGCGGACCUUCGGGUGCCGGCGAGUGGCGAACGGGUGAGUAAAGUAUCGGAACGUACCUUUCAGUGGGGGAUAACGUAGCGAAAGUUACGCUAAUACCGCAUAUUCUGUGAGCAGGAAAGCAGGGGAUCGCAAGACCUUGCGCUGAUUGAGCGGCCGAUAUCAGAUUAGCUAGUUGGUGAGGUAAAGGCUCACCAAGGCGACGAUCUGUAGCGGGUCUGAGAGGAUGAUCCGCCACACUGGAACUGAGACACGGUCCAGACUCCUACGGGAGGCAGCAGCGGGGAAUUUUGGACAAUGGGGGCAACCCUGAUCCAGCCAUGCCGCGUGAGUGAAGAAGGCCUUCGGGUUGUAAAGCUCUUUCGGCCGGGAAGAAAUCGCAUCAGCUAAUACCUGGUGUGGAUGACGGUACCGGAAUAAGAAGCACCGGCUAACUACGUGCCAGCAGCCGCGGUAAUACGUAGGGUGCGAGCGUUAAUCGGAAUUACUGGGCGUAAAGCGUGCGCAGGCGGUUUUGUAAGACAGGCGUGAAAUCCCCGGGCUCAACCUGGGAACUGCGCUUGUGACUGCAUCACUCGAGUACGGCAGAGGGGGGUGGAAUUCCACGUGUAGCAGUGAAAUGCGUAGAGAUGUGGAGGAACACCGAUGGCGAAGGCAGCCCCCUGGGCCGAUACUGACGCUCAUGCACGAAAGCGUGGGUAGCAAACAGGAUUAGAUACCCUGGUAGUCCACGCCCUAAACGAUGUCAACUAGGUGUUGGGUGGGUAAAACCAUUUAGUACCGUAGCUAACGCGUGAAGUUGACCGCCUGGGGAGUACGGCCGCAAGGUUAAAACUCAAAGGAAUUGACGGGGACCCGCACAAGCGGUGGAUGAUGUGGAUUAAUUCGAUGCAACGCGAAAA
rnacentral:rRNA from 1 species